UACGUAGGGUGCAAGCGUUGUCCGGAAUUAUUGGGCGUAAAGAGCUCGUAGGCGGUCUGUCGCGUCGAAUGUGAAAACCCGGGGCUCAACCCCGGGCCUGCAGCCGAUACGGGCAGACUAGAGUUCGGCAGGGGAGACUGGAAUUCCUGGUGUAGCGGUGAAAUGCGCAGAUAUCAGGAGGAACACCGGUGGCGAAGGCGGGUCUCUGGGCCGAUACUGACGCUGAGGAGCGAAAGCGUGGGGAGCGAACAGG
rnacentral:rRNA from 1 species